rnacentral:rRNA from 1 species
UACGAGGGGGGCAAGCGUUGUUCGGAUUCACUGGGCGUAAAGGGUGCGUAGGUGGCAGGGUAAGUCGGAUGUGAAAUCUCCGAGCUCAACUCGGAAAUGGCAUUGGAAACUACCCAGCUCGAGGGUUGGAGGGGGGACUGGAAUACUUGGUGUAGCAGUGAAAUGCGUAGAUAUCAAGUGGAACACCAGUGGCGAAGGCGAGUCCCUGGACAACUCCUGACACUGAGGCACGAAAGCGUGGGUAGCAAACAGG